AUUGAACGCUGGCGGCAGGCUUAACACAUGCAAGUCGAGCGGAGAUGAGGUGCUUGCACCUUAUCUUAGCGGCGGACGGGUGAGUAAUGCUUAGGAAUCUGCCUAUUAGUGGGGGACAACAUUCCGAAAGGAAUGCUAAUACCGCAUACGUCCUACGGGAGAAAGCAGGGGAUCUUCGGACCUUGCGCUAAUAGAUGAGCCUAAGUCGGAUUAGCUAGUUGGUGGGGUAAAGGCCUACCAAGGCGACGAUCUGUAGCGGGUCUGAGAGGAUGGUCCGCCACACUGGGACUGAGACACGGCCCAGACUCCUACGGGAGGCAGCAGUGGGGAAUAUUGGACAAUGGGGGGAACCCCGAUCCAGCCAUGCCGCGUGUGUGAAGAAGGCCUUAUGGUUGUAAAGCACUUUAAGCGAGGAGGAGGCUACUGAGACUAAUACUCUUGGAUAGUGGACGUUACUCGCAGAAUAAGCACCGGCUAACUCUGUGCCAGCCGCCGCGGUAA
rnacentral:rRNA from 1 species